rnacentral:lncRNA from 1 species
GGGGCCGUCCUUCCUACCCCCAGCCCUGUGAGUCAUCUUCAUUGAGUUCCAAGAAUCCCCGCGCAGCUGUGCAGCUGUACAUUGCAUGCUGACACUGAAUGAGCAGUGACUGGACGCUGCCUUCCAUGUGGGACACGAGCCUUCAAUGCCUGAUAAAGCCUGAAAGCCACAAUCUGCCCUGGAAACCCAGCUCCACCCUGCUUCCACUACAUCAGGAGGUGAAGGAGGAAAUUGAAAGUGUGAAACACCAGUGGGAGGAAAAGGUUCCUGUAACAAAUGUGGUUAUCAAUGGGAAAGAAGCUUUCUAGAGCUUAUAUACGGGGCCGAGUCAUGCACACUUCAUCAUACUCACCAGGGGACGACCCAGACCAUCAUUCUUCUCUGGUCUGCCACCUUCAUCCUCCACUUGCAGCCUCCUUUGCAGUGACCAUACAGGUGCAGAGCAUGAGCAGGAUGCACAGGGGUUUAUGUGGUCAGGCCUGCCUGGAGUUGGCACAUAGCAUUUCUGCUUCCAUUCUUAGGUCUGAAAUCCAGGUCACAGAGCCCUAACAUAACUACAAAGGAUCCUGAAAAGUGUUGUAUUCCAGUGUGCCUCGGAAAAGAAAAUAGGAUUAAUAAACUUUGAUUAGACUAAA